GGGCCGGUAGUUCAGUCUGGUAUACAUCUCGGCCAAGGAACGUCCGGUUCGCAACCGGAAGGUCGCGGGUUCAAAUCCCGCCCGGUCCACCA
rnacentral:tRNA from 1 species